rnacentral:sRNA from 1 species
GGGGAAUUUUCUUUACUCCUUUGUUAUUAUAUCUGUUCUCUUUUUAGGAGACACAGAUUGAGCAAAUAACCAACCAUCUUGUGUUAGCCAAUACAUCAAUCCUUCUUUGUGGAGGAGUCCCUCAGAAGAUGGCAGCUUUUGGGCUGCAAUACUUCCUGGAUCAUGUCAGAUGUAAACUUGUCUUUUAUUGUCGCAGAGUGGCCUGGGGAAAUUCUCUCAACACCACCUGUCUUUUAGGUGGCUUCCAGGCCUUAAGUAUCAACCCCACAAACUCCAGGUGGGCAGAACUCAAAUUCAAACCCCCAAAACAUACUAAUUCUCCCUGUAUUGUGAGCUGGGUGUUUCACUUGCUGGUAAAUCUCAUUGUUCCCAUGAGAAUGACUAGCCAAUGGAGCAGCAGAAAUAUCACUGUGAAAUCAAAUCUUGGAUAUUGUUCUUGUCUUUUAAUUGAUACAAUUACAAAAUCAAUGUGUUCAGUUAUUUUCUCCUGUAUUGAUGUUUUUUGCUUGGGAAUCAUGGUAUGGGGCCAGUGGCUCCAUGAUAUUUUUUCCCUCACAGGUACAAGCGGCAAGUCUGAUACAUUCAUGACACUAAACAAUGCUCCCAAAUAUCCCCAGAGACCAGAGCCACAAAAUCUAUUCUGAUACUUGUGAGCACUUUUGCCUUAUUUUUUCCUUUCUCUUCUGCUUUUGAAAUGUAUGCUUUUCUUUUUGACAAUCCACAGGCGUGGCUUAUGAAAACCAGUGUUCUUCUAGUAUCUGGUUUUCCAACCAUCAGCCCCUUUUUGCUCUUAAAAAGUGACACCCAUGUUUCCAGCCUCUGCUCCUCCUGCUGAGGAAGUUGUAGA